rnacentral:tRNA from 1 species
GCGGGAAUAGCUCAGCUGGAUAGAGUAGUUGGCUUCGAACCAAUUGGUCGGGGGUUCGAAUCCCUCUUCCCGUACCA